rnacentral:lncRNA from 10 species
AGCAAGGUCAUCAGCGGAGAUGAGCAUCGUGGAGGAGACAAUGGUGUGCAGAGGCACGGUGAAGAGAAAGAUGACAACUUGGAGUGAUUGGCUUAUAUCUCUCUGAUUGUACUCCUUGGACCAGGGCUGCUAAGGGAGAUAGACCAACACAUUCCCAAUCUAGCCGGAUGCACCAGAAAGGCCAUGUGUUCAGACUCAAUUCUGCACGCCUCCCCCAGGCGGCUGCUCUGCACAGCCACAGCCUCUCUGGACACCCCCACCUGCCAGGUCCGCUGUGCUCAACUCUUCCUUCAACCCGGCUCCUCAUCUCCAGAGCAGGACCUCUUCACUGCUUCCCACACUUCCUCCCCAGAAGGAGAGAAUACACAAUAGAAAACAAAGGAGACAUAGAGAGAAAAGCGGAACUCAGCAAAGAGCAGAAAAUGUAAGCGAGGGAUCCCAGGAAAUUGCAUCUGAAGCCUGAAUCGGCGUCUCCCUCGUGGACUGUUCACCAUUCCCCAUCGCUGUCUGGGAAGGUUGUCUCCAUGGCAAUGGGGACCACCUAGUUAGUUCCCAACUCGGUCUAUCCUGGGAGACCCCGAGCAACAGUCUCUCUUCACCGUGGCUCCUGCCGGCUCCCUGACUAGCAACAGUCUCUCUUCACCGUGGCUCCUGCUGGCCCCCUGACUACUGGUCCUCAUAGGCGCUUUCCAGACACCCACACCUUCUCGACAAGCCAGUGCAAUCAGCUGCCCGAAGGAAGACACAGAGCUUCCAUUUCCAAGUUGCUCCUGCCUGUACCCCACCACCUUAUGCCAUUAAUAAUGGCGGUGCCCCACCCCAGCACACACAUCUGACAAGCACAGUUGGCCCGGGGCAAACUCGGCUUCACUGAGCAAAAUGGAAACACAAGACAAUUGCAACAGGGUCUUCCACUCGCCUCCCUUGCAAAACGCAAAGUUUCUCUCGUCUACUUUGGGAAGUCUGAGUGUUUUCUCUUACUCCAGGUUUACUUUCCCACCAUUGUCCUGCCUAGCACACCAGGAAAAUUUAGCAACAGCAGAAAUCCACCUUGGACAAAUUUUGUGAAACCUUCCUGCAAAAUCAUCAUCCCCCUCAAAACCAACCAUCCUCCAGACAGUCUUCACCAUCAGGCUAGACACAUUUCCUGUCUGGAAUAUCCACUUUUAGGCAGACUGAGGCUGGAACGAGGCAAGAGAACCGUCCAGCUCACAAAGCACAGGCCGGCAGUGGCUGCAAUGAGUGGCCGCCUUCUGGGGCUGCUGCCUCGUCACACUGAUUUUAUUUUUCUGAUGCUCUAUAAUGAAGUGUACCAAUUAAAAUACGCUGGUGUCAUCAUGUGUUGCCUCAAAAAUAAGUCUCUUUUAUCAUACAAAAGAAAAAUAGCAUUUAUAAAAUAAGAGCAACCCUCCCGCUUACUUGCUGCUAAAAAAAGUCAGUGCACUUUUCCGGUGGACAGUUUAACGCGACUCGCCGUGUGAAACACGCAUGGCUUUUGACCCAGCAAUUCUUCUUCUGGAAAGGUGUCAUUAAGCAGAUAACAGGGACUUCUGGUUAAACAUGGCGGACCUCACACAGUGUUCAUUCCUUCUCUCUCCUAAUCCUCUCUAAAAUGAAAACUAAAGGAAUAAAAUGUUGUAAAUACACAAAACCAAAAAUAAUAGGCAAAAUGAGAAAAUACAGUAUCAGGUAAAGUUGCCAACGUAGUGUGUGUGGCAAAGAUGGUGUGUGGAGCUGAGAAGGCUGAAGCCCAGGCACCUGGAAAACGGGGGCUGUUAGGAAUUAAGCCCUGCUCUCUGAAGAACCCGGAGAGGCUCCCGAACUGGAGCACCAGUAGCUGUGGGAGGUGGGGAGCCUGCGGGCUGAAAAGGAAGAGUGUGGACAAGGUCUGCAUGAGAGGUAUAGAUGCCUGUCCCACACCCCUCUCCUCCCCACAUGGCUCCUUGCCCUGGCUACUGCUGAGGACGUAAGGCAUCCAGAAUGACAUGGAAGCUGUUAACAAAAGACCGGUGAUAUCUGUGGAGGCAACGGGAGAACCUUAUUUUCUAAAAGCAAAUAGAUUUUGCUUUUAGAAAAAUCUGUGAUUGUGGACACGCAGCC